AUUCUGUUGGUUCCACGUGGCUUGUGGAGUAAGGAGACCUCACUGGAGAGUUGCUCUCGUCUCUGGCCGUGUGGCAGGGAGGUCCUGCCCCAGAGAGAAGCUCCUAGAAGCCCUUCUCCUGCGAAUCCUGGCUGGAUGAGUGGGCCAUGUGGGAUCAGGAGCCUGCUUCCAAGAAAGCUCCAAGCCACUUGCUGAAAAGCUGCUUCCACAAGCUCCGCUGUGUUCCUGUCAGCCUUGGGCUCAAAGCCCGUGGACAUGUCUCCGAGCCUCAGCCUGCCCCCCUGAGCCCUCCAGGGGUGUGGCCAAGCCAUGUGACCAGUGAAGACGACAGCUGAUGGCGAUGGUGAAGGUGGGGGCUCCCCUCUGCGUCUGGAGUGAAGUUCAGCCCUGAAGUGCCAAUGGUGGUCUCUCGGGCCGAGGUUUCCACAGCUGCAUAUGCAGGAGGGGGAGAGCCUGCUGGCGGGAAGCUUUGGCCGGGGAGAGGCUGCCCAGACGAGCCGGGGUCACCCUCGUGCCUUUGUCUGAACCCCCAGAUAGAAGCCAAAGAUACCAUUUUCAAGUGUGUCUUCAAGACCUUGGUGACUAAGGGCAGCUCCACCGAUCAGGGAGGGGGGUGGGGGCAGGGGACCCAGUACAGGGAGGAGCAGCAGGACCACAGCUGUGCUUGGUGUCUCCGUUCCCAGCUGGGGCCUCAAAAUGUCUCGCUUCUGGCAGGAGAGUCCCCUUUGAUCCUGGGUCUCCCCUUUCCUCUGCCUUCCUUUUCCAUCCCGUGGCAGAAAAGCACGCGUGGGCGCCAGUCAGAGCCUGUUGGCUGGCUUAACCAGAACUUGAAAAUGGCGCCUCACAUCUCCAGCGCCCAUGCCUUGCAGACUGGCGCUGAGGAGCCAACCUCAGCCCGGUGCCCGCAGAGCACACGUACACUCCGUCCCCUCUCGGAGCCUUGGUGUCCCCGCUAUAAAAGGAAAUGCUCUCAGGCUUCUCCCUUUGCCGAGUCUGUCGAUCCAACUGGUACAGAGUAGGCUGGAUGCCUCUGCCAGUCCAGGGGGCACGUCCUGGGCAAGAGGCAGGGACUGCCCUCCUCCUCCUCCCACCGGCUUGGCUUCGUCAGCCGUGGUCCUUCCUCCUUUCCUCCCUCAGUUUGAGAAGAUACAUCCUGGCAGAGGGAGCCCUGGCAUAGCAGGGCCCUGGGGGUUGCCCUUGGGAAGCCUCACUGGUGAGGGCAAUGCCAGGCGGGCCAUGCCAAGGACACUCUGUCACUUGGCGGGCACACAGAAGAGCGUGGCCUUUCCCUCGUUCCGGCUCUCCUUGCCCCUGAGUUCCAAGGGGCCACGGCGGCCCUGGCUGUGGGGUUGAGGCAGGCCAGAUGUCCCUUCCAGGCCAGAUGCCCUGGGCCAGAAAGACUGUGCAGGCUGGCCCCUUGCUGACACAGCGCUGGAACCCUUGACUUUGGAGCCUAGCCGGAGACGGCCAGGUGGCUGUGUCUCCUGAAGGAAAUGCCUUUGAGCCACAGACUGGCUCAGGAGCAUCUGGCUGCUGGGGUGGCUGGUGCCCUGCUCCCCGCCAGGCUGGCAGCAUAUGGCUGCCCUGCCAGCCCAAGCCACACCCCCUGCAAAGAGCUCCUCUCCCGGUGCCCACGCACACAGGGAGGCCAGUUGGCCUGACAUUUGGACGCAAUUCCGGGCAGCCUUGGAUGCUCAUCUGGCUUCCUGCCAGAGAAGUGGCACCGUGCCCGGAAGGAGUACAGGCUUCUCAGCCGCAAAGAGCAGGAUCAAAGACCUGGAACCUGCAUGCACUAGUGGCGUGAUCGCAGUCAGGGGGCUGCCCUGUCUGAGCUGUUCCUCGUUUGUGAAAGAGGGCUAGCCAGGGUGAGGACUGGUACCUAGAACCGCAGGAAACAUGCUUGCUGUCCAUGGUGCACGCGUCACACCACAGGGGCCCCCAGGGACCACUGGCAGGCCUUGCACACCUCCGCCCUGGAAGGUCAGCCUGUCCCCCUCCUCCUCCUGACCUCAGCACUCACCCCCUGCAGGGCCCUCCUCGCUCCUUCCAUCAGUCUCCCACCAGACAGAGCCCUGAGGGCGGCGGCAGGCCUCCAUCUUAUCCAGCACCCAGCAGAUUCUUAGCUGGAGCCCAGAGAAUUCUUAGCUGAAGGGGGCUGUGUUUGAAGGGUGAGACUCCCUGAGGCGUCUCGGUCCUCCCACAGCAGCGAGCUCUUUGGGAGUGAGGUACCGAGAGUACGGCGUCGCCCAGUCCUUGCCUGUUCCCCUCUCAGAGAAUCGCCCAAGGGGAUUCAUGCCCUUGGUGGGAGGAAGAAGAGAAAAGACCCUCGUUCACCUGCUUAGUCUAAAUUGUUUACUGAGCACCUGCUCUGAUCUUAACAAGACAGACCCUUGGCCACCAUGGCGCUUUCACACAACAAACAUUAAACGGGUAUAUUGUCAGCUAUGUGGGAUGGUGAUAAGACUUAUGGAAGAAAAAUGGCAGGGAGCAUGGGGAAGGUGGGGUCGCGAAGGAGCUGUGACAGAGCGAUGCCUGGAAGGAGGUGAGAGACAGGCAGGGGGGGACCAGCAAGUGCAAAGGCCCCAGGGCAGUCGUGAGUCAGCAGGUGGGGGUGGCUGACUGGGGAGUGCAGGGAGAGAGUGGUAGAGGGGAGAGGAACCGUGACUUCCACUGAGGGAAACGGAGCGAUGGAGAAGGGACAUUACUUUUACAAGACCCCUGGCUGCUGUGUUGAGAGUGGACUGAAGCAUGAAGCAGAGAGGCCUGGGCUCCAGGUGACGGCAGUAAUCUAGGUGACAGAAGAUACCCCGGGCCACGAUGGCAGCUGUGGAGGUGGGAGAAGUGGUGGGUUCUGGGGCUCCUUCCAAAGCACACCGUCAAGGUUAGUUGGUGGAGUGAAUGUGGGUGUGACAAAUAGUCAAGGAGGACACCCAGGCCUGAAGCCCCGCCCCAUGGGUCCCCGUGGCCCGCGGAUCUGAAGUCGGGGUGAGCUCUCUCGGGAGCGCCUCUCAAGCCCCUGCCCCUCUGCACUCCGCCAAUCGCCCCGUGACUGAGCGCGUUGCCAUGGCGAUCCCGCCGUGGGGUCCAGGCAGGGUCCUGACAGCGGAGCCAGGCCUGGAGGCCUUGGCGUGCCCAGCGCCCGCCCUGAGCGCCCAGUGUCACAGGCUCAGGAGGAGGCAGAAAGCCCAGUCACCCCGUUAA